CCGUUUCACAGACACAGAACUUUGGCCUUGGGAGGACGUCUCUGCAACCUCACUGGCUGGUUCAUACAGGUCUGUUCCAGGGCCCGCUCUCUUGCCGAUCUUCUUACAGUGCUUCCAGAGAUGGUCCAAAUCGGAACUGGGACCUCCCGAUUUCCCCAGCCCCUCCCUCCAUCCCCCUCUCCAUGUCAGUGUGCUGGAGCACCGAGGGCGUGGGGGUCUUCUCCCUGCUGCUGCGGGGUGGUCAGCCGCGGGCGCGCCUGCUCUGGACAGCCGGGGCCGCCACCCUCUCGCCCCUGACCUCCAGCGAGACGGAGGAGAUGGGGGACGACGGGCGGCGGGAGCUGCGGAGCGUGUGUGCCCUGCAGCGGGCCGGCCCCGGAGGGGAGGCGCCAGGGACACGGCCGAGUGGAGGACGUGCUCUGAGCAGAGGCGGUAAGACGGCGGUGAGCCCUGGCGACACAGAGGACAUUGAGUACAUGGACCAGAAGGUGGACGGAGAGAACAACAACAAUGUGGAGAGCUGGGCGGGGACCAAGACGCUGUCCGAAGAGGAGAGCCAUGGGGAGGAUGAGGAGAGCGAUGAGGAAGAGGUUGGGCCCGGGGGCCUGCACAUAAACCGGGUGGACGUGAGGACGCCCGCCCGCCAAGUUAGGAGGGGUCUGCGGGUAUGUGUGGAGAUCUCACACCCGGCCCUCGCUCUGCCUGUCUACAGAACAUGGACAGAGUCAAUACAGGAGGAGUCAUCUUCCAUUUGACCAAUUGGAUACCUGAAACAGGGAUGUUUUUUUUUAUAACCUACUGUAUGUAAUGAUAAUGAAGAUAUCACACUGUAGCUGGUCCAUAUUUCCAUCUUUUCCCAUAGGUUAUUUAUUUAUUUGUAUUAUUAAUCCACUGUCUUUGAUAUCAAUAGUUUUUAGUCUG
ensembl:lncRNA